ACAGCCCAUUAUCCUUUCAGCUGCCCAAACGACAGAACCUUCCGCUGGUACCUCCAGAGCAGUUCCCCUCAAAGGAAGAGGUUCUCCAUUCAGAUGUUCACCAUGUCUGACCACUCCCACAUCUACCUUCACUGCCUGAGCAGAAUAUGCAGCCAAGAUGAGAACUGCACAACGAACUGCUCUCCCAGGCAAAACCAAAAGGUGAGAAGAGAUCUACCGGACAAACUCACAGCUAUUCUUUCAGCAGGACCCAUCUCUGCAGCAAAGAGGAAACUGACAAACUGGCCUGGAGCCCAGAUCAUGCUAUCAGUGGCCGGAGGAUUGAUUGGCCUCUUUUUUCUGACAGCACUGGGUGUGCGUGCAGCACACGCUAUAACACAGCGCAACCCCAGCCAUCAAUAAAGUGUGUAUACCUGC